GUGGACGUGGCCGAGCGGUUAAGGCGACAGACUAGAAAUCUGUUUCGGUUUCCGAGCGCAGGUUCGAAUCCUGCCGUCCACG
rfam:Galdieria sulphuraria unplaced genomic scaffold scaf_43, whole genome shotgun sequence.